rnacentral:rRNA from 1 species
GACGAACCGUGCGAACGUUAUUCGGAAUCACUGGGCUUAAAGCGCGUGUAGGCGGUCCGGCACGUCGAUGGUUGAAAGCCCCCGGCUCAACCGGGGAAUGGGCCUCGAUACGACCGGACUGGAGGGAGGUAGGGGGAUCGGGAACUUCCGGUGGAGCGGUGAAAUGCGUUGAGUUCGGAAGGAACGCCCGUGCCGAAAGCGCGGUCCUGGACCUCACCUGACGCGGAGACGCGAAAGCUAGGGGAGCAAACGGG